rnacentral:tRNA from 1 species
GCGGAAUUCGGGUGGCCUCCCUUACAAGGAGGAGGUCGCUGGUUCGAGCCCAGCAUCGCCCACUA